rnacentral:rRNA from 1 species
GAUGAACGCUAGCUACAGGCUUAACACAUGCAAGUCGAGGGGAAACGGCGUUGAGUGCUUGCACUCUUCGGACGUCGACCGGCGCACGGGUGAGUAACGCGUAUCCAACCUUCCCAUAACUAAGGGAUAACCUACCGAAAGGCAGACUAAUACCUUAUGUAAUUCUUAGAUGACAUCAGAAGAGAAUGAAAGAUUUAUCGGUUAUGGAUGGGGAUGCGUCUGAUUAGCUUGUUGGCGGGGUAACAGCCCACCAAGGCAACGAUCAGUAGGGGUUCUGAGAGGAAGGUCCCCCACAUUGGAACUGAGACACGGUCCAAACUCCUACGGGAGGCAGCAGUGAGGAAUAUUGGUCAAUGGGCGAGAGCCUGAACCAGCCAAGUAGCGUGCAGGAUGACGGCCCUAUGGGUUGUAAACUGCUUUUGUAUGGGGAUAAAGUCAAUCACGUGUGAUUGUUUGCAGGUACCAUACGAAUAAGGACCGGCUAAUUCCGUGCCAGCAGCCGCGGUAAUACGGAAGGUUCGGGCGUUAUCCGGAUUUAUUGGGUUUAAAGGGAGCGUAGGCCGGAGAUUAAGUGUGUUGUGAAAUGUAGACGCUCAACGUCUGACUUGCAGCGCAUACUGGUUUCCUUGAGUACGCACAACGUUGGCGGAAUUCGUCGUGUAGCGGUGAAAUGCUUAGAUAUGACGAAGAACUCCGAUUGCGAAGGCAGCUGACGGGAGCGCCACUGACGCUUAAGCUCGAAGGUGCGGGUAUCGAACAGG